GCCAAGUUCUGCGGAAACCGCUUUCGAGGAAAGAUGUUUACAACGAAAAUACCAGCUGCGAUUAAAGUUCUAGGAAUACAAGACGUGGUUAAAAAGGCGCACCGUGGUGCCUACCGUGGACUUGGUGAUUCAGGUCUGGGAGCGGGUUCCAGGGAUCUGCGUUUCAGCAACCUCUUUAGCAGGCCUGGACUCCAUCAGAAGGACACUCCUAGCCAGCCAAGACGUCACUUUGGUGCAGACAGCAGGGCAAUGAGGCAAGCAAUAAAAAGGCCUAAUCUCUUAAGGCAACAUGAAUUGUUGGCGAGAACUUAAGGGGAAAGCACUCUCAGCUCCGGAUCAUUUUCCUCGUCUUACAUGUGCCUGCUGACUGCUUGGGGAAAAAAAGAGGUGGAGAGGACUCUGCUCACACCAGCGGGCGGCAGGACACAAUGCACAGAACUGGUUUCCUCACAAUUUUAGCAGCUAAACCUUUAGCCACUUGCUAGCAUUGGUGACUGCCAUCGACUGAGUGCUGCUUCUGUGACAGGUAUUUUUUUCCUUUCAAUUUUUAAGGUUUUAUUGAAGUACAGUUGAUUUACAAUGUUGUGAUAAUUUCUGUGUAUAACAGAGGGAUUCAGUUAUACACAUACCACAUACUGCAUUCUUUUUUUUUUUUUUAAUUUUAUGGCCACACCCACAGCCUAUGGAAGUUCCCGGGCCUGGGAUUGAAUCCGAGCCACAGCUGCAACCUGUGCUGCAGCUGCGGCAAUGCCGGAACCUUUUAACCCACUCUGGCGGGCCAGGGAUUGAACCUCUUCCUCCACAGAGACCCCAGCUGCUGCAGUUGGGUUCUUAACCCAGUGUGCCAUGGCGGGGACUCCACACAUAUCCAUUCUUUUUCAGGUUCUUUUCCCCAUAGGUUUUCACAGAAUUUUGGGCAAAGCCCCCUGUGUUGUAUAGCAGGUGCCCAUUGAUCAUCCAUACUACAUACAAUAACAGGCCCAUACCAGACCCCACGGUCCCGUCCAUCGCUCCCCACGACCUGUCUCCUUUGGUAACCAUAAAUUUGACUUCAGAGUCUGUUUCUGUUUUGUAAAUAUGUUCAU
rnacentral:lncRNA from 9 species